rnacentral:tRNA from 1 species
GCCUGGGUGGCUCAGUGGUUGAGCAUCUGCCUUUGGCUCAGAUCCUGAUCCUGAACUCCUGGGAUCAAGUCCCACGUCAGGCU